rnacentral:rRNA from 1 species
CAGGAUGAACGCUAGCGACAGGCUAACACAUGCAAGUCGAGGGGCAGCACGGGAGUAGCAAUACUUGGUGGCGACCGGCGCACGGGUGAGUAACGCGUAUGCAACCUACCUAUCAGGAGGGGAAUAACCCGGCGAAAGUCGGACUAAUACCGCAUAAAACAGGGGCACCGCAUGGUGAUAUUUGUUAAAGAAAUUCGCUGAUAGAUGGGCAUGCGUUCCAUUAGGUAGUUGGUGAGGUAACGGCUCACCAAGCCGACGAUGGAUAGGGGAACUGAGAGGUUGGUCCCCCACACUGGUACUGAGACACGGACCAGACUCCUACGGGAGGCAGCAGUGAGGAAUAUUGGUCAAUGGGCGGGAGCCUGAACCAGCCAAGUCGCGUGAAGGAAGAAGGAUCUAUGGUUCGUAAACUUCUUUUGCAGGGGAAUAAAGUGCAGGACGUGUCCUGUUUUGUAUGUACCCUGAGAAUAAGGAUCGGCUAACUCCGUGCCAGCCGCCGC